rnacentral:pre_miRNA from 1 species
UUAAGCCAAUUUUGUAUGGAGUUGGAACGUUUGCCUAUGUUUGGCGUAGGGGCGCUGUUCCAACUACAUACAAAUUUCAGGUG